AGUGGSGAACGGGUGAGUAACACGUGGGCAAUCUGCCCUUCACUCUGGGACAAGCCCUGGAAACGGGGUCUAAUACCGGAUAUGACACGGGGUCGCAUGAUCUCCGUGUGGAAAGCUCCGGCGGUGAAGGAUGAGCCCGCGGCCUAUCAGCUUGUUGGUGGGGUGAUGGCCUACCAAGGCGACUACGGGUAGCCGGCCUGAGAGGGCGACCGGCCACACUGGGACUGAGACACGGCCCAGACUCCUACGGGAGGCAGCAGUGGGGAAUAUUGCACAAUGGGCGAAAGCCUGAUGCAGCGCSCCGCGUGAGGGAUGACGGCCUUCGGGUUGUAAACCUCUUUCAGCAGGGAAGAAGCGAAAGUGACGGUACCUGCAGAAGAAGCGCCGGCUAACUACGUGCCAGCAGCCGCGGUAAUACGUAGGGCGCAAGCGUUGUCCGGAAUUAUUGGGCGUAAAGAGCUCGUAGGCGGCUUGUCACGUCGGAUGUG
rnacentral:rRNA from 1 species